rnacentral:misc_RNA from 1 species
UCCGGUUUUACGCCGACAGUAUCCCUAAAGUUCUCAACUUAAUGUUAGCAACACAAAACGAGGGUUUCGCUCGUUAUAGGACUUGACCAAACAUCUCACGACACGAGCUGACGACAGCCAUGCAGCACCUGUGAAUCGGCCCUUGCGGGCGAGGACAUUUCUGCCACUCUUCCAAUUCAUGUCAAACCUAGGUAAGGUUCUUCGCGUUGCAUCGAAUUAAACCACAUGCUCCACCGCUUGUGCGGGCCCCCGUCAAUUUCUUUGAGUUUUAACCUUGCGGCCGUACUCCCCAGGCGGGACACUUAACGCGUUAGCUUCGGCACUGAAGGGGUCAAUACCUCCAACACCAAGUGUCCAUCGUUUAUGGCGUGGACUAC